rnacentral:ncRNA from 1 species
CUAUGCUCUAUACAGCGGUCCCCUCUUCGGGGCCCUCGCCUCAGUACAGCAAAGGAGUUUCGACUUCUAGGCCGUGCUGUCGCCCGGUUCUUGCACCCUUGUGGAGCUUGACCCGGGGCCCCAGUGGAUCACGAUCCGCUGGAGGGGUGGCCCUCCACCUCGAAUCCCGUCCCUCGAGGAACGACUCGAUGA